CAAUUAAUAUUGUUAAUUAUCUUAUUAGUUAACACACAAUCAGUAAUGGGAGGGAAUUUUAGUCGGCCUAUGAUAAUAUUCGAACACGGCCUACCUAUUCGGUGAUUAUUCAUAGUAUUAUUAGUUUUAAUAUUUAAUUAUUAUAUUUUUACGUUUACGUAUUCGUGUGUGCACGUGUUUGUCUGUGUGUGUUAGAUGCCUGCAUGGCGUGUCUUUUCUUCCAUGCGAUGUCUCAUGUAUGUAUGUGUGAAUAUUCAUUUACAUAUACGUAUAUAUAUAAUAUGUAUACUAGACUUGGCCAAAAAUAUUGACUUACGUUUAUUUAACACCUUCUAAUAAUAU